rnacentral:rRNA from 1 species
UACGGGGGGGGCAAGCGUUGUUCGGAAUUACUGGGCGUAAAGGGCUCGUAGGCGGCCAACUAAGUCAGACGUGAAAUCCCCAGGCUCAACCUGGGAACUGCGUCUGAUACUGGAUGGCUUGAGGAUGGGAGAGGGAUGUAGAAUUCCAGGUGUAGCGGUGAAAUGCGUAGAUAUCUGGAGGAAUACCGGUGGCGAAGGCGGCAUCCUGGACCAUUACUGACGCUGAGGCGCGAAAGCUAGGGGAGCAAACGGG